CUUCACAGUCGACCUCAAAAAUAAUGACGGAGUUGCUCGCUGCACCGUUUGCAGCAGUGACUUUUCUAUUGCCCGUGGUGGGUUAAAUGUUGAGAUUGAUGCACCAUCAAUAACUCUCGGAGACGGGAGGCGAACAAUAGGUUUUUAUUAGCUGCAAGAGACCACCACACUGGAGAUCUGUAGACUGAGAUCCUGGAGACUGAGGGAGGAGCAGUGCCUCCAAUCGCCUUUAUACCGGGGUCUGUGGGAGGAGCCACAGGAGCAGUCAGCAGAGGGGCGUGUCCAGACAGUUGGUCUGACAACUCACCAAAUGAGGAACAUAAGCUGCAGAAGACGGAUCUAAUGGCUAAAUGUGUCAAGCUCUACAAACGGAAUAAGGCACUUACAGGGUUCUUUUGAAGACCCUGACCUGGAGAUACGCACUGAAUACGGUUCUUUGUGGGUAUGGGUUUCAUAACCGGCCGUUGUUCAGCACGCCAAGGACUCGGCUUUGGAAGCCUAGGAUCUCGGGGCUCUGGAGAUGGGCGGAUUGAGUGUUGGUGUCGUGACAGGAGACCCAUGGGUUGUUGGGGAAGUCGGAACAUCUGUGGCUGUGUGCCCAGAGACUUGUGAUCGUGACCUUUGGGCACAGAGCUCAACAAAAGCGACAUGGCGGAAUUUUAACAUUGUAAACCAGCGGGUUGUUUGUUAUGUUUCCCCACUCGGUGUGAAAAUGGAGACACCUUUUUCACCCUGACAUAUGUUAGUGAUAUUAAACGCGAUUCUGAUUCAGAA